rnacentral:rRNA from 1 species
UACGAAGGGGGCUAGCGUUGUUCGGAAUUACUGGGCGGAAAGCGUACGUAGGCGGAUUGUUAAGUGAGGGGUGAAAUCCCGAGGCUCAACCUCGGAACUGCCUUUCAUACUGGCAAUCUUGAGUCCGGGAGAGGUGAGUGGAACUCCUAGUGUAGAGGUGAAAUUCGUAGAUAUUAGGAAGAACACCAGUGGCGAAGGCGGCUCACUGGCCCGGAACUGACGCUGAGGUACGAAAGCGUGGGGAGCAAACAGG